rnacentral:rRNA from 1 species
CCUACGGGGGGCAGCAGUGGGGAAUAUUGGACAAUGGGCGAAAGCCUGAUCCAGCCAUGCCGCGUGUGUGAAGAAGGCCUUCGGGUUGUAAAGCACUUUCAGUGGGGAAGAAAGCCUUGGGGCUAAUACCCUCGAGGAAGGACAUCACCCACAGAAGAAGCACCGGCUAACUCCGUGCCAGCAGCCGCGGUAAUACGGAGGGUGCGAGCGUUAAUCGGAAUUACUGGGCGUAAAGCGCGCGUAGGCGGUCUGAUAAGCCGGUUGUGAAAGCCCCGGACUCAACCUGGGAACGGCAUCCGGAACUGUCAGGCUAGAGUGCAGGAGAGGAAGGUAGAAUUCCCGGUGUAGCGGUGAAAUGCGUAGAGAUCGGGAGGAAUACCAGUGGCGAAGGCGGCCUUCUGGACUGACACUGACGCUGAGGUGCGAAAGCGUGGGUAGCAAACAGGAUUAGAUACCGGGUAGUC